rnacentral:rRNA from 1 species
GAUGAACGCUGGCGGCGUGCCUAAUACAUGCAAGUCGAGCGAACAGACGAGGAGCUUGCUCCUCCGACGUUAGCGGCGGACGGGUGAGUAACACGUGGAUAACCUACCUAUAAGACUGGGAUAACUUCGGGAAACCGGAGCUAAUACCGGAUAAUAUAUUGAACCGCAUGGUUCAAUAGUGAAAGACGGUUUUGCUGUCACUUAUAGAUGGAUCCGCGCCGCAUUAGCUAGUUGGUAAGGUAACGGCUUACCAAGGCGACGAUGCGUAGCCGACCUGAGAGGGUGAUCGGCCACACUGGAACUGAGACACGGUCCAGACUCCUACGGGAGGCAGCAGUAGGGAAUCUUCCGCAAUGGGCGAAAGCCUGACGGAGCAACGCCGCGUGAGUGAUGAAGGUCUUCGGAUCGUAAAACUCUGUUAUUAGGGAAGAACAAAUGUGUAAGUAACUAUGCACGUCUUGACGGUACCUAAUCAGAAAGCCACGGCUAACUACGU